rnacentral:lncRNA from 1 species
AAGAGACAUGGCUCCUUAAGGGAAAGGCAGAGACAUGAGGAGAAAAGGAGGCUGGAGACGACCUCAGAGUGGAGUGAAAAAGAGAUACUAGGCAAGAAGGAAACAAAAAUUUAGCACAUAUCUCUAGGUAAGACUUUUGCAGACUCGUUGGUUGGGCUUAGCUCUGUCUUUCUUUGUGAAUCUGGUGAUCCUAAGAACUGGUAUACUAAAGUGGUUAAAGAGGUGAAAUUGGAAGAAAGGUCUUGUAUGAGUGUUGCCUCAGCCCUGAAUAUCUGAAGUGGCCUUGGCCAAGUCUUUGUCUUUCAGUUCAUUCCCACAUUUGCAGCACAUCCAAGCAUAGUCUCGCUUAAAAAGGAAUGCCGUCAUUCAAAGGAGAUGUUAUUAGACACCCGGCCAUGCUCAUUGAGCAAUGGUCAUAUCUGGUGAGCCAGCCCUAACUGGGGAUAAGCCCUCCUCAUCACCAAGACUUCCUGGACCCAGAGGCAUACGGAGGGUGUGUGUGUGGAGGGGGCAGGCCACCCCGGGUACCACUAUGGGCGGGUGGCAAGAUGGCCCACUACCUCCCCACAGCUGUAGAGCAGCCAAGGAUGCACACACAGUCAGUAUGGGCUCCGCUCACGUGGCAUCCGUACGGGCUGCCACUCAUGCAUACCAUCCAUAUGGGCAUCCGUAUGGCCUCUUCACAGCUGCCUCUUGCACAGCGACCGUACAGGCUGCCACGAGUAUGCAGUCCGUAUGAGCUGCCACUCGCGCGCUGUCCGUACGGGCUGCUGCUUGCACGUGCCAUCCAGCCGUACAGGCUGCCUCUCACACGGUGACUGUACAGGCUGCCAUGUAUGCACAGUCCAUACGGGAUGCUGCACGUGUGCAGUCCAUACAGGAUGCCAUGCGUGUGCAGUCCGUACAGACGUCGUGCAUGCGCUGCCGGGUGGUUCGUUCCGCCCUCGGCGUCCUGCCCAGGGUGCCAGAGAGGGUUUCUCCACCACUGCCUGGACCUCCAGCAGCAGAUUUGAAUCGAGUAUUCCCAAGCUACAGAUCUGUUCCUUUAACAAGAUAUAGCCCUAGUUCCCAAGCAUGACAACUGCCUAUUCACAUCACCUCCUUUUGGUUGACAGAGCAUAUUGGAUACCCCCUUGAAAGUUCAGGUCUGUGAAUGUAAAGAAAGUGAAAUUGAAAUCUAUUGGUUCCAGUAAUAUCAUUGCAACUGGUGCAUGGUGAGCUUUUUGUGAAUUGGCUGGUGGAAUAAGACCACUGCAAAUGGCCAAUUAUAUUCAAUUUUAGUGGCAUGAUAAAAACUGUACUGCACAGCUGGUAAUUAUUACCUGUCUCCAUUUUGAGUACUUUCCAGUGGCAGCCAUUCUCUGGUAUGGAUCAUAUGAUUGGGGGUCUUAUGUUAUGCUUUGAGAAGAGAGGCAAAGGUUCUGUGAGUCAAUUAAAUAAAUAACAAAUAAUUAGUUUUUAUAGCAAGUUUAACAAGAAGGAAGAGGGGAAUGAAAUCCGAGGAAAACACACAUCAGCUCACAUUAAUAAGACAAUGGCCACCAAUGUAUCCAUCUCAGUUUAAACCUAUGUCAAUAUAUGCCAUCCAAAUGUUCUGACAGAUAUCCAGAUGAAAUCAAUAAUUUUUAAGAAAUAUGUUAAAAUGUAGUAAUAGUAGGAUAGAAGAGCUAGAAAUAAUGCCGAUAUAUUUUGCAUCUGGAAACCAAUGUGCCAUAUUCAAAUUGUACAUGGGUAGACAAGUCUAAAAAGCCCAGGACACAAAUUUCCACAGCCCUCUAGCAACUAGGAGGCUUAGUUUGGUCAAUAUUGAGUAUAAAUGUCCAGAGUUAACACUAAAUACAUUACUUCUGGUAAAUGAGCCACCAUAGCUGCUAGAGGGCAGUGAAAAUUUGUGUUCUGGACUUUUUAGAAUCAUCUACUCAUGUACUAUAUGAAACCAAAGGGUCUCUUUUCAGCUCUCCUAUCCCACUGUAAAGGUGAGUGGUAAGACCAGGGGUCAGCAACCUUCUCCAGCUGUGGGCUGGUCCACCAUCCCUCAGACCAUGUGGUGGGCUGGACUAUAUUUUUUUUGGGGGGGGGGGAAUGAAAGGAUUCUUAUGCUCCACAAAUAACCCAGAGAUGCAUUUUAAAUAAAAGGACACUUUCUACUCAUGUAAAAACACUCUGAUUCCUGGAACGUCCAUGGGCUGGAUUAAGAAGGCCACAUCCGGCCCCUGGGCCUUAGGUUGCCUACCCCUGGGUAAGACCCUCAGACCAUUGCAUAAUAAAUGGUGCAUGUUUGUCUUCCCAUGCUUGAAGCAUAAGUCUCUUGGCAGCUAUAAGGACUUGCAAAAUCCACUUUUGUUGCCCUGCCACUAGUCCCCAUACCAUGUAGGUAUAAUUUUAAAGUAAACAAAUAUAAAGCAUUUUUCCACUUCAAAAUUAAUGCGGAUAAUAACUGAGUCAUUCCUUAUGGUGGGCGAGGCAGAGUGGCCUUCUAAAUGUUGCUAGACUCCAAUUCCCAACUCAACCCCAACCAGCAUAGCCAAUGCUCAGGGAUGAUGGGAGUUGUAGGCCAAUAUCACAUGAAGGGCUUCCCUAUCCCUACCUUAAGAUAUACCUUUAGCAGAGCAAAUGGCUACUUGUGCUAUGACAUCAGAAGUCAAUAUAUGAGACUAAAUUGCCUGACGGAGUUGCAUUUUAUUUGAGUUUGAAAAAGCAUCGUAAAAGUGCAAGAGAUAGCACCAUUUCAAUUCAGAUCAGUUUUAUUGUUGAAUCCAUCACAAAAAAUAAAACCAAAAUAGCACAUUUCUUCAUAAUUAGGUCCUGUGUCAAUUUUUGAUUAAGGGACAGUUUUCUCAAUGACUUUCUCUUUUUUUGAUAGCCUGAGCUCAUCUUUUUCUCCUUAUUUAUUAGAUUAUGGCAUCAUCCAGUGAAGAGCCUACUUCUGACAACAGCUUUUCAUCUGUGAAUGGCUCAGGGAAUGAGAACAGUGCCCAAGGAACAGAUGGACCUUCUGACUCAAGAUGUCCUAUCUGCCUGGAAAGAAUAAGGAACGUGGCCUUCUUAAAUCCCUGCUUCCAUAGAUUCUGUUUUGUUUGCAUCCUGGAGUGGUCAGAAAGGAAAGCAGAAUGCCCACUCUGUAAACAACAUUUCCACUCUUUCUUUCACACCAUAAAUUCCGACACUGAUUUUGAAGAGUACAUUAUUCCCUUUGAAAAUGCAUCCUAUGGCCUGUGUGGGGAGAGGUCAGCAAUUGAUCACCGACCUGAGUCGCUGCCAGACAAUGGGAUCUUGUAUGAAGGAUACUCCGAAGGUAGGAUGAGAACACUUGAUGAGCUGAUGAGACAGCUUGGAAUAAGGAGGUCAUCCCAUCCAGGAGGCAUCUCCCUUGGGCAAAUCCGAGAGCAGGUUACAAUUAAGUUCAGGAGGGGCCUUUAUCGGUCUGGAGCACGUGUCAGGAACGUCCAGAGUGGAGGUUUUUAUAGGGAUAUAUCAGCUGAUUUUUUCCACAGGAACCCUGUCCGUCUUAACAGGUUGGUUCCCUGGUUGAAGCGUGAACUGAGAGUGCUCUGUGGUACACAUGCAUCCUUGAUCAACAACAUACAGCAUAUCAUAUUGAACAACAUAACUAUCUUUGAUCUGGACAGCCAAGCCUUUGCUGACAUUGUGCAGCCUCAUUUACUCCACUACACCAAUCAUUUCUUGCAUGAAUUCAUCAAUUUUGCUCGCUCCCUUUCAACAUUAAGGCCUAUGACUGGAGAGCCACUUAUGACAUUCCCUUUCCUAUCCAUGAUGAUGGGUUCCAGUCCAAUUCAUCAUUUACUACAUCAUCUUCAGAAGAGGAGGAGGAGGAGGAGGAAACGGAAGACUCUGAUGAGAAUGAGGGGGAAGAUAGAGAAUCAGUGACAAGUAAUGAGGAAGGAACUUGGGAUGACGAAAUACAAGGAGCAACCAGUUCCAGUUCCAGCCAGACUCUGGAUGAGUUUUUUCUUCCUUUUGGGUCCUCAGAUGGAGCACUUGUAAGAAGUCAGGACAACAUGCACGUAUUUUUCCAAGCUGAUGCACAUUUAGGGUCACACAAUAGGCACUGCCCAUUACAUGAACGUGUCCUCAAUGAGAUAGAAGAGAGUAUGCCAUUGCUAUGCAAAGCCAUCCCCAAUUGUAUGGAGAGUGCACAUCAAACUAUAGAUGAUAUUGAUGAAGAAGAAGAGCCAGUAAACAAGCAGAAUGCCUUAAACAGUCAUAGCUUUGGUGGCAGCACUCAUAGUGCAAGUACAGCUAUCUCUAAUGUUGGCCAGACUGCUAGCAGUAAUCGAGUGUUUGAUGCUUUGCAGCUUCCAUCUCAAGAGCAAGAGGCAGAUAGCAUGGAUCAGACACCAUCACAACAAAAGGACAUGGUAAGCACCAAGCUGAUCCAUCAUAAAGGAGAGGAGAUCAUUGUUAUUGAGGUGCUUCAACCCAAAGCAGAAGACAUUUUGGUUAUUGAGCACAUAGAGUUGAAAACAAGAGAAACUAAUGACACUGGUCAGAUGGCAUGGGAAGAUGAAGAAAAGGGUAGCUCUACAGAACUGCACUCCUCUGCAGAAGACACACCAAGUGGUUCUGAUACCAAGAGGAAGGGUGGAUUUUUUUCAUUUAUCAGAAGACCUUGAUUUACACAUCAGGAAAAUCAGUCCAAUAACCCACAAGGGAACUUGUUAAGUUGUUCUCUUAAUGGGGUUAUACAUGUUAUGCUCAAACCAAUAAAUUCGUAUAUAUGAAAAAAA